UUUACUAACAAGAGUACCCUUCAGGUACAUCUCAUCUGGCUCUACCACAAAAAAUGCUGUUUUGGCAUCAAAGGGGGUGUUCUGAGCCUCGAUUCUCUCUCUUUCUGGCUUCCGGAGUUAUGAUUGAAGAUUGGAAAGCUAAUUGGUGCUUUUAUUCAGCAACUUCAGCAACGGGUACACAGGCAUGCUGUUCAUGCAUUGAUUGUUCAACUUUCCUGUUGCUGACAUUCAAUAGUGGAAUUCAACUGAACUUGCCAGAGAGAAGAGUGGCGCCACCCCAGGAGGGAUGAAGACCAUCUCUUUUCAACAGAGACAUUAAUAACUGAUGCUCACAUCAAAGAUCUCAAAUCCAGCAAUGUCCAGCACACCAAUGAAGAACUGUCUAGGCUGCUUUGUGUCCAGCAUCUCAUUGAUACGGAC